AGAGUUGUAUCCUGGCUCAGGACGAACGCUGGCGGCGUGCUUAACACAUGCAAGUCGAACGGUAAGGCCCUUUCGGGGGUACACGAGUGGCGAACGGGUGAGUAACACGUGGGUGAUCUGCCCUGCACUUUGGGAUAAGCCUGGGAAACUGGGUCUAAUACCGAAUACACCCUGCUGGUCGCAUGGCCUGGUGGGGGAAAGCUUUUGCGGUGUGGGAUGGGCCCGCGGCCUAUCAGCUUGUUGGUGGGGUGAUGGCCUACCAAGGCGACGACGGGUAGCCGGCCUGAGAGGGUGUCCGGCCACACUGGGACUGAGAUACGGCCCAGACUCCUACGGGAGGCAGCAGUGGGGAAUAUUGCACAAUGGGCGCAAGCCUGAUGCAGCGACGCCGCGUGAGGGAUGACGGCCUUCGGGUUGUAAACCUCUUUCAGCAGGGACGAAGCGCAAGUGACGGUACCUGUAGAAGAAGCACCGGCCAACUACGUGCCAGCAGCCGCGGUAAUACGUAGGGUGCGAGCGUUGUCCGGAAUUACUGGGCGUAAAGAGCUCGUAGGUGGUUUGUCGCGUUGUCCGUGAAAACUCACAACUCAAUUGUGGGCGUGCGGGCGAUACGGGCAGACUGGAGUACUGCAGGGGAGACUGGAAUUCCUGGUGUAGCGGUGGAAUGCGCAGAUAUCAGGAGGAACACCGGUGGCGAAGGCGGGUCUCUGGGCAGUAACUGACGCUGAGGAGCGAAAGCGUGGGGAGCGAACAGGAUUAGAUACCCUGGUAGUCCACGCCGUAAACGGUGGGUACUAGGUGUGGGUUUCCUUCCUUGGGAUCCGUGCCGUAGCUAACGCAUUAAGUACCCCGCCUGGGGAGUACGGCCGCAAGGCUAAAACUCAAAGGAAUUGACGGGGAACCCGCACAAGCGGUGGANCAUGUGGUUUANUUCGACGCAUCGCGAAAAACCUUACCUGGACUANAAUGCGAGGGAAGCUUGGCUANCNCCAAGCGUCCG
rnacentral:rRNA from 1 species